AGAGAUAUCGAGUUUGAAGCGGCAUAGGGUCAUUCCGCACAAAAACGGUGAUUGGAGGAUAUUACUCAGGGACGAGGUUUAGCCAAACAGAGCUAUUCAGGUGCAAGAGGUUCAAGGGUGGACAAGAGCGAGGUUCUCUUCUAGAUAAUUAUAUUAUUAUAUUUCGGAUGUUUAGGUUUAUGCUUAAACUC